UACGGGGGGGGCAAGCGUUGUUCGGAAUUACUGGGCGUAAAGGGCUCGUAGGCGGCCAACUAAGUCGGACGUGAAAUCCCCAGGCUCAACCUGGGAACUGCGUCCGAUACUGGAUGGCUUGAAUCCGGGAGAGGGAUGCAGAAUUCCAGGUGUAGCGGUGAAAUGCGCAGAUAUCAGGAGGAACACCAAUGGCGAAGGCAGCACUCUGGGACGUGACUGACGCUGAGACGCGAAAGCGUGGGGAGCAAACAGG
rnacentral:rRNA from 1 species